UAGUGAAAGAAGGUAGACAAUGAGAAAAAAAAACAAGCGAACUAGAACAGCACAUACAGACAGUGGACACACAAACGACGACAUAUAAAGACAAAUAAAAUACUCAGACACGUAAAACGAAAGAGGGACGAGGGUAAGGACUGAGCAGUUGCAAUAAGCAUUUGUAUCAACUCCAAUAUACUGAGACAAAUAUCCCGCAUGGAAAGAAUAAUUGGAAUCAAAACGGACAACCACAAAUAUUAUAGAGAACGGAGUUGGUCUUUUUAGAGAAAAUUCAUCCAUACACA
rnacentral:lncRNA from 1 species